AUAAAACUCCCAAUCGCAUCUCCACCUCCAGCGCGCAGCCACCCUCUGCCGCGAGGCGCCGGCCCCAGCCCCGCCGCAGCGCGCCGCCCCCGCCUACCCUGCCGGCACUCCUAACCCAAUUGCCCCCCACGCCUGUGGCGUUCUACCGCCAGCGACACCCCACGCUGCGGCCGUUGCCGGCACGCAUACCCGCGGGCCUCCGUCUCUCCUGCUGCCGCCGCUGCCCCGCUCGUCCAGCGGGCCGGCCCCGUCCAUGGUGCGCAGGGGCUACCCACGCCCUCCCACGCCCGCGCGCGCCUCCUUCUGCCCUUCCGCCGCGGAUGACGCCGCGUCCUGCAGCUCCACGGAUACGUCCUCCACCCUGCCGACUUCUCUGAGCCUGAUGCGAUCCCGAUGGUGGCCGCGCCCUGCGAGAGCCCGCUGCUGCUCGGCCCGACGUCCUGCCGUGGCGAGCGCUUGUCGUCGGAGCUCUGGUCGUCGGUUCCACAUGGGGGGCGCCUAUCCCACUGUGCACUGAUCACUUAAUUUGGCUCUCUCGAGGUGCCCGGCUCCGGCUGCGAAGAUGAUGGCGGCGCCUAGGCCACAGCAGCCACAUGGGAUGAAACUAGCAGAGAUGAAGAAGGCGGCGGUCGUUGGGAGGAGAAAGGUUGCCGGGAAGCUGGAGGACAUGCACCAGCUGCGGCUGCUCAUUUAUCUAUCUGAAUUUUCUGCAAUUCAGAUCCACCAAGGAAGAGAUGGACGAGGCCGUGUUGCUCCUUGCAUCUAUCCGAAUUACUAUAUGAAAAUGAGAGUUACUGGUGAUAUUGACCAGAUUGGAAAUUGGGAGCUUUUCAUAUAGCAAUUCAGAUAGAUGUUCUUGCUAACUAUAUAUGAAUUGCUAUAAGUGGGGUGGGGGUGAAGAUGUUCUUGCUGUCUAUAUAUGAAAUGAAAAACCUGAUGAAGAUCCUUCCGAGGCGUCUCAGAUGUACCUCUUCUCGCACUGAACAGGGCCAUCAAUGGAGCAGUCAAAGAAGCAACACUGCAGUAGCAAAAACAAAUCAUACGUGGCACUCUCCCAGUAUGCGUGCCCAGUAUAUUUCAAAAUGGUAGUAGCUUCUUGUUCUUCAGAAAGUAAAUGUAAACAUCUGUUGUAAGAUUCCAGUACAUGUAAGAUUUUUAUAUGAGAUAGUAGCUGUGUUAUAUUUACAAAACAAGGUUCUGUACUCCUAAGUCUAAUGAUUUGUGCCUCACGUCUGAAUUCAGGUAAAGGCAACCGCUGCUAGCUUCUCUGCCACAGGUAGGGGUGAAGGCAGCAGUCAAUGGGUCAUCUCCAUACUCCAGGUUCAGCACUAAUUACUGUUUGAUUAGUGUGGUAUUGCCGAAAACAAUAGUACCAAGCACUAACACAAUCGCCUGAGUAUAUUACAUGGGUAUAGCACUGAUUACUAUUUGACUAGCAUCAGGUUUUGAAUGUAAGACAUUCAAAGUCGGGCUGUGAACUCAUUGGGGUCGUUUCUUAUCAUCAAUGGGGACUGCAUGUUUUGAACAGACCAUUUUUAUCCCAUAUCCAAUAGUUCUGAUGGCAAAUAGACACUGCUUUACUUUAACUUUUUUGUAUGGAGGUGUCCUUUUAGUAAGUUAGGAAAUUGAAAGUGGUAUGUUGCUGUUGCAUUUCUAACACUAAAAGUUGUACUUGAUAAUGAUACCAGGUGGCAUCUUGAGUAUGUGUUAUUUUCUUGAAAUAAUCACCAUUGUUUUGUCACUUGGUCUUUAUCUUAAAAGAUGGAGUACAUAUUGGCAUACACUAGAACAUAGUAACAGGCUUGACGAUCAAAACAUCUGUAUUAGCUAAAACCAGAUGGACAGUGAGUUUAUAUAAAAAAGAAUUGUAUCCCCAUCUGCUUCUCCUGUUCAUUGUAUCCACAGAUUCGGUAAAUCAGCGUAUUGUCUGCUUCUCAUGUCCAGACUUGGUAGUUCACAUCAUACUUGCCAGCUGUGUAUAACUGACUGCUAUUUGAUAGCCCCGUUUACAUGAUAGAUGAGGCAAGGGCCAAGGAGAGGGGAAUUGAGGACCAGAAAGCAUAGGAACAGAUUUUGCCGCAUCAGCCGAGACGAUAACCAAUGGAUAAAAACAGAAAAGAGGGAAAAGAAGCGGAGGAUAAAGAGUUGACCAAUGAUCCGAUCCGUCUUCACUUCAAGGGUAACCUUGUACUUAAUCCUAAGAUCAUAGGUUGAUGUUUGGAUUGAGAAUUACUGUCCGGUUAAGGCAACUGCUAAUUAGAAUCUGAAUACAAAGGUUUUAAAAUCAAAACUAGGUAUAAACAGUUUAGAAUUUGAUAUAGCAGUAAAAGCAAAGUUGUAGAGCAUCUGAAGGAGGCAGUAGUCUGUACUCCCUCCGUCCCACAAUGUAAGAAUAUUUUACAAGCAAGGCAGUAGACAGUACUACUGAAUGUUGAUUCCUCUUUAUAUAAGUGUAAGUGCAUGAUUGGUUUUGAGAAAUAGUUUUAUGCGUUAUUUUGAUA